rnacentral:lncRNA from 1 species
UUCGAUAUAUUCUUUUGCGAAAGAACAUAUAUCAAAUUCCUCACAUUGAGAACCAAUGCCUCAAACACUCCUACUGGGGCGAACGCCAAUUUUUUCGAACGCCUCCGUCAAUCUUCACUAAUUGACACUCCAUCCAUCAAACACGAGAAUUUCUAAUUUCUUUUGCGAAAGAAAUACAUUAGCUGCUGCUAAUCGAACACUUCUACUUCAAUGAAGUAUUCCACCAUAUUCUCGUACUAAAGAUGGACACAUCAGCUACGGCUGAUUUUACCUCAUUCUUGAGGCAACAUUAAUCCUCUCGUUGUACCAAAUCGUCUUGAAGAUUUCACUUAUCUUCACAUUGUUUAACAAGAGUUCCUUUCAAGAUUUCAACAUUCCUUCACCUCUUCAGCAUUCCCAUCAAGUGUUCGAGAUUUUUGUCACCCUUCAAGAAUUUCUUGAAUGGCCUGCCAUGCCACCACGGUUUUCUACCAGGCCUAACCAGCCGCAGCACCGAACAUGCUUUCCUAUGCCGAAAAUAUUUGCAUCUCCUCAUAUUUGUCGGAUCUGGGCUGCAACUUUCACCUUCGGAACUUCUUCCACUCUAAGAUUGGUGUUGUCUCAAAUCUUCUAAUUUUCGCGCCGAGUUUGCCAAACGUGCUCUCCAUUGCCGAGUGUCGUCUCGCCUGUGUCGAAUUUGGCCUCGGCUGCCUCGAAACGGGCUGGUUCGUCUUGCCCUCGCCAACGUCAUCAAUCCUUCAAGUCUUCGGCAUCUCACUGCAUCGCCUUCUAUUUCACCUUGUAGAUGCAGAAUCUAGGUUGCCUCUGCCCCACCGAAAUUAGGAGAAUACUGCCUCACCUGGAUUGUCGAGUGUUCGCCGAUGCAAACCACGGAUUGCAGGCUGCUGCUGCUGCUAAGCAUUCAAGUCUCAAGAACCGUAUUUUGCUUGCAUAAAUAUCCCUUAGGUCCUUCAUUUAUCGAGUAAGAGGAAUCUUUCUUAUGUUGCAAAAUCGUGCAACCACCGCUCCUAGGCCGUUUUGGCAACACCUCUCCUGAUUAAAUUAAAUAGUGGACCUCUCUUUGAACAUUGGUUGAGUUCUAGUUUUCCAUCGUAGAAUUACUAGGAAAGAUUUUGCCACUCAUGAAUAUUCACUCAACACACACAAGCGCCCACGGCAUUCGAUUGUGGGCCGCCCAUACCCGGGCCUCCACCACGUGGACAAUUGCUGCCAAACCCAGGCUAACAUUUUUUUUUUUUUU